CAGUAGCCGCGGGAAUACGAAGGGUGCAAGCGUUACUCGGAAUUACUGGGCGUAAAGCGUGCGUAGGUGGUGGUUUAAGUCCGUUGUGAAAGCCCUGGGCUCAACCUGGGAAUUGCAGUGGAUACUGGGUCACUAGAGUGUGGUAGAGGAUAGUGGAAUUUCCGGUGUAGCAGUGAAAUGCGUAGAGAUCGGAAGGAACAUCUGUGGCGAAGGCGACUAUCUGGGCCAUUACUGACACUGAGGCACGAAAGCGUGGGGAGCAAACAGGAUUAGAUACCCCAGUAGUCCCUGUCUCUUAUAA
rnacentral:rRNA from 1 species